rnacentral:lncRNA from 1 species
GUGGUUGGUGAGCAAUCGUCCAAACCGAAGUCGACUAAGUGGACGCCAAUCGAAGAAGAAGCCUUAGCCAAGGCUUACAUAGCCACGUCUAACAACAAGACAAAAGGUAAUAACCAAACGGGUGAUGGGUUUUGGUCCAAGGUUUUGGCGAAGUUCCUCGACCUUAUGGACCAAGGCCCGUAUCGUGAUAUCGACUCGGUGUCGUCAAACGGCAUGA